CAUAUGUAUACAUAAGCAUUUCCCCAAAUAACAUGCAUAUGAGUUCAAUGCUCGGCAUGGUCGCCUCGUCAGUUGAAAGCUGGAGCCCGCGCGAAGCAAAACAAGACGAGCGCGCGAACGUUUAACCGCUGAGCGGUGCACUCAUUUAUUUAAUUUAAUUGACGCCUGUUGCUGUUGUUGUCGUUGUUGUUGUGGUAUUCGCUGAAUAAUAUAAAAGGCUGAGCAAUGCCAGCAAUGUUUAAUACAAUUACAUAAUCUUGUUAUUGUAACAUUUUUAAUUUGGCAAACAAAUGAACAUUGGCACACUGUUGCCUAUUAAAGCUUUGGAAGUAGCAACAUAUUUGCUGGCGUGGACUAAGCGCGUAUUCAAUAUAAAAAGUUACACAAACGAAAGUUUGCAGAGGGCAACAAAAGUAACAGCACCAGCAGCAGCAACAACAAUAUCAAGAGACGCUACUGUUGUAUGAUUGUUGUUGUUGUUGUUGUUGUUGUUGAUGAGCCAAAGUCAGCAACACCAGCCCGAAGACAAUAACAGGCACGGCUUCAAUACGAACAAAGACAAAGUUGAUGUCGCAACGGCAGCGGCAAAUCAUUUAAAUAUUGAAGCAAUUGAAAAGGCAGCGUCGAUGGUAGCAAUUAACAGCAGCGACGACUGCAACAGCACCAACAGCAGCAACAAUUGACUGGGCAACAGGGGCUGCAACAAAUUCGAGCGACGGCAGCGGCAGCAAAGAAUACAUAUUGCUAAGUGAAAACCACAAUAAGAACAGCAAAAGCAGCAGCAGCAACAACAAUAACAACAACAACAACAACAGCAGCAAUAAAAGCAACAUUGAUGUAGAAACAUUUACCAAUACAAAAGAGCUCAAUCAACUCAAUUUAAAUUCAUCGUCAACGACUUUGUCGUCGCAGUCGCUGGCGACCUCACUAGAGGCUGCGUCACCAACAACAACAACAGCAGCGGCAGCGGCAGCAGCAGCA